rnacentral:rRNA from 1 species
UAGGGAAUCUUCGGCAAUGGACGAAAGUCUGACCGAGCAACGCCGCGUGAGUGAAGAAGGUUUUCGGAUCGUAAAACUCUGUUGUUAGAGAAGAACAAGGACGUUAGUAACUGAACGUCCCCUGACGGUAUCUAACCAGAAAGCCACGGCUAACUACGUGCCAGCAGCCGCGGUAAUACGGAGGUGGCAAGCGUUGUCCGGAUUUAUUGGGCGUAAAGCGAGCGCAGGCGGUUUCUUAAGUCUGAUGUGAAAGCCCCCGGCUCAACCGGGGAGGGUCAUUGGAAGCUGGGAGACUUGAGUGCAGAAGAGGAGAGUGGAAUUCCAUGUGUAGCGGUGAAAUGCGUAGAUAUAUGGAGGAACACCAGUGGCGAAGGCGGCUCUCUGAUCUGUAACUGACGCUGAGGCUCGAAAGCGUGGGGAGCAAACAGG